rnacentral:sRNA from 1 species
GCUCCAUGCCCCCCCACUCCACCGUGCUGCAACAGGAGGGUGCCGUCUUUCUGUCCUUCAAACUCGUCCGGGGUGGCGUCUUCCAGGAGGAGGCGGUGACGGAGGCCCUGCGGGCGCCAGGCAAGUUCCCCAACUGCAGCGGAACCAGAAACCUGCAUGACAACCUGUCGGACCUCCGUGCCCAGGUGGCAGCCAACCAGAAGGGCAUCCAGCUGGUGGGGGAGCUCAUUGGGCAGUACGGCCUGGACGUGGUGCAGGCCUACAUGGGCCAUAUUCAGGUGGGCCUGGGCACAGGAGUGUGGGCGGCAGGGCCAUCCUGCAGGUGACCUGGCCGCCACUGAUCCUGCUCCCUGCCAGGCAAACGCUGAGCUGGCCGUGCGAGACAUGUUGCGUGCCUUUGGAACCUCCCGGCAGGCCCGGGGCCUGCCCCUGGAGGUGUCCUCGGAAGACCACAUGGACGACGGUUCCCCCAUCCGCCUCCGUGUGCAGAUCAGCCUGAGUCAGGGCAGCGCUGUGUUUGACUUCAGCGGCACUGGGCCGGAGGUGUUUGGUAAUCUCAACGCACCGCGGGCCAUAACCCUGUCCGCCCUCAUCUACUGCCUGCGCUGUCUGGUGGGCCGCGACAUCCCACUCAA